rnacentral:lncRNA from 1 species
AGAUGGCUGCUGAAGACAAGCUACUGCUGCCGCGGCUCCCCGAGCUGUUCAAAACUGGCAAAGUUUCUGGACGAAGCAGAAGUAGCUGCUGAACCUGCUGGUUCCUGGAUAGUCCAGGAGAAAGUGUUCAAGGGCCUGGACCUCCUUGAGAAAGCUGUCAAAAUGUUAUCACAGCUUGACUCCUUCAGCCGAAAUGAAGACAUGUAAGAGAUUGCUUCCACUGACCUGAAGUGCCUGUUGGUGCCCUCACCAUGAAAUAAGUCAACCCCAGCAAGCGUCUGGAUCAUUUGCAGCGGGCUCCAAAACGCUUUAUAAACUACUUAACUCAGUGCCGUUACUAUCAUGUGGCAGAGUUUGAGCUGCCCAAAAUGAGAACAACUCAGCUGAAAAUCACACUACUAAUUCCUCCAUUGCUAUCCUAGCCUCAUUUCUAUGGCAUCUCAAAGACAGGCUAAAAUAGAGAGAUACAAACAGAAGAAGGAGUUGGAGCAUAGGUUAUCUGCAUUGUAAUCUGUUGUGGAAAGUGGUCAAUCAGACGAUGAAUGUGUUCGGGAAUAUUAUCUUCUUCACCUUCAGAGGUGGUUUGGUAUCAGCUUAGAAAAGAUUGAGAGCAUUGACCAGGAAAUAAAAAUCCUGAAAGAAAGAGAGUCUUCAAGAGAGCCCUCAACUUCUAACACAUCUCGCCAGGAAAGGCUUCCAGUGAUACCCUUCAUUCUCGCCCGGGACAUAUCCAAGCCAGCGUAUUUGGAGCUGGUUAUCCAAGUCUGGCAACUAUGAUGGUGAGUGACUGUCAUGAACAACAUCAGAAAUAUGGAAUGGAGAAUUACCAAAUCAGGGAAUAUCCAAGGCAACAUCAGAGGAAUUCAGAAAAGCAGCUCAGCAACAGGAAGAUCAAGAAGAAAAGGAGGAAGAGGAUGAUGAAACAAACACUCUACAGAGCUUGGGAAUGGGAUGACUGUCAGAACAUCCAUCCUAGGGGCAAUGGCAACCGACAGAACAU